CCUUAGAUAGCUUAAAAAAAAGCAUUAGACUCUUAAUCUAAACAUGAAAUCAAAUAUUCUCUAAGGA
rnacentral:tRNA from 1 species